rnacentral:rRNA from 1 species
CAACCAGACUCCUACGGGAGGCAGCAGUGGGGAAUAUUGCACAAUGGGGGAAACCCUGAUGCAGCAACGCCGCGUGAGUGAAGAGGUCAUUCGUGAUGUAAAGCUCUAUCAGCAGGGAAGAAAAUGACGGUACCUGACUAAGAAGCCCCGGCUAACUACGUGCCAGCAGCCGCGGUAAUACGUAGGGGGCAAGCGUUAUCCGGAUUUACUGGGUGUAAAGGGAGCGUAGACGGUGAUGCAAGUCAGAAGUGAAAGCCCGGGGCUCAACUCCGGGACUGCUUUUGAAACUGUGUAACUGGAGUGCAGGAGAGGUAAGCGGAAUUCCUGGUGUAGCGGUGAAAUGCGUAGAUAUCAGGAGGAACACCGGUGGCGAAGGCGGCCUGCUGGACUGCAACUGACGUUGAGGCCCGAAAGCGUGGGGAGCAAACAGGAUUAGAUCCCCCCGUA